rfam:Schistosoma haematobium scaffold2507_8, whole genome shotgun sequence.
AUCCAGCUGACGAGUCCCAAAAUAGGACGAAACGUGCAUCCUGGAU